rnacentral:rRNA from 1 species
UAUCUGGUUGAUCCUGCCAGUAGUCAUACGCUUGUCUUAAGGAUUUAUCCAUGCAUGUCUAAGUGCAGUGUACUCGACACACUAGACUGCGGACGGCUCAUUAUAACAGUUAUAGUUUAUUUGAUGGUUCAUUCUACGUGGAUAACCGUGGUAAUUCUAGAGCUAAUACAUGCCAAAAUCCCGGACCCUCUGGGCUUCGGGAGCAUUUAUUAGAUACCAAAUCAAUCGGCUUUUGCCGCUUUGAGGACUCAUAAUAACUUUUUCAGAUCGUGUAAACGGCGUAUCAUUCAAGUUUCUGACCUAUCAGUUAGUCGGUAGUGUAUUGGACUACUGAGGUUUUGACGGGUAACGGAGAAUUAGGGUUCGGUUCCGGAGAGGGAGCCUGAGAAACGGCUACCACAUCUAAGGAAGGCAGCAGGAGCGUAAAUUACCCAAUCCUGACCCAGGGAGGUAGUGACAAGAAAUCCAAUAUUUUGCCCUUCAAGGUAAAAUAAUUGUAUUGAGAACAGGAUAAACAUGUUAUUGAUAAACUAUUGGAGGGCAAGUCUGGUGCCAGCAGCCGCGGUACUUCAACUUCCAUAGCGUAUGCUACCGUUGUUGCAGUUAAAAACUCGAAGUUGGAUUUUUACGGUACCAGUCUUGAAUGGUCUACAAGUAUCGGUUUUGGCCUGGUUCUCGAUUUGCGUCUGCGCCCGACCGGA